rnacentral:rRNA from 1 species
CCUACGGGUGGCUGCAGUGGGGAAUAUUGGACAAUGGGCGAAAGCCUGAUCCAGCCAUGCCGCGUGUGUGAAGAAGGCCUUCGGGUUGUAAAGCACUUUCAGUGGGGAAGAAAGCCUUGGGGCUAAUACCCUCGAGGAAGGACAUCACCCACAGAAGAAGCACCGGCUAACUCCGUGCCAGCAGCCGCGGUAAUACGGAGGGUGCGAGCGUUAAUCGGAAUUACUGGGCGUAAAGCGCGCGUAGGCGGUCUGAUAAGCCGGUUGUGAAAGCCCCGGGCUCAACCUGGGAACAGCAUCCGGAACUGUCAGGCUAGAGUGCAGGAGAGGAAGGUAGAAUUCCCGGUGUAGCGGUGAAAUGCGUAGAGAGCGGGAGGAAUACCAGUGGCGAAGGCGGCCUUCUGGACUGACACUGACGCUGAGGUGCGAAAGCGUGGGUAGCAAACAGGAUUAGAUACCCUAGUAGUC